AGGACAUAUUCUUUGUCCUCAUAGCGGGUAAUCAUCCUGAUGUUUCUGAUCCACUCAUUAAAGUUGGAUCCAUCAAAGAUGACCUUACCACACAAGUUCAUUAGGGAAAAGGAGCCUGUCGGGUUUGAGCCAGCAGCGUUAUUGGAAGACAUCUAGAAUAAAAGGAAGAUAAGUUUCAUUAGAUUAAGAGUCCUUAAUAAGUCACCCAAAUGAAAUAUUAAGGCUAGGAUCCAACAAACUAUUUAUAGGUGGAAGAGGGAUGCCGUAAUCCACACUAUAAAAUAUUUGAAGGUAGGUAAAUGACGAUUUACCAAUUUCCACCAUAAGAACGAAAUAUUUUAUUAUUAGGUUUUAUUGGUUUUGAAACUCCUAGAUCUUUUGAGAUACAUUGAACUUUUCAAUGGCAUGUUUGAAUCUCGAAUGUGCCCUCUCAAGUUUGUGACUGGGAUGCCAAGGAUCACAAACAAGGUGUGAAUAACCAUACAAAUUGACUUGGUACCCUUAACAAUAUUACCUAAUCGAUGUGCCGGUUAACCACACACGCUCCACCGAUCUAUAAUAAAGUCAAGUUACCCUUUUCCACUCUUACUAGUCCAUGUUAGUGUGCCGGUUAACCACACACGCUCCACUAACGACUUGGUAAGGUACAAAGUGUAAUUUUAUGGGCUAGCACCAAAUUCACAUUUUCCUAAAGUAACUAAGACUGGGAAUUUAUAAUGUAUAGUUACUUUAUAAUUCAUUAUACUUUUAAUGAGAAUUUAAAGUUGUAUCCUACCCGUUCGGUUAACGACCCUCCACCGAUCAAGGAAGCGGUGGGUGAGAGUGGACACCCAUUAAGUCAUUAUUUUAUAGGCAAAAGCCUUAUACCCCCCUUAUAGACCGUCUUCGUGAAUGAGGCCUACUAACGGUAAGAAUGACAUAUUCUUAUACAUAUCUAUAUAAUAAGAUUAUAAUAAUAGUAUAAGUGUUGAUUUUUAAACUUUUUAAAAAUAUAAGGUUUAAUUUUGGAAUUAAAGUAUUAAAGUGUAAGACUUUUCAAAUUCCAAAACUUGAGGGCAAGAAUUGAAACUAUUCGAAGUCUCUUCGAUUUGUAACUUAUGAGUUUUAAUGGUUCAUAAAAAUGAAGACUCUUCAUGUUAUGAAACCUCUUUAGUUCUUUAAUAACAAUUUAAAGAAGUGACUUUUGGUUAUCCAUAACUUGAGGACAAGUUAUGAACACCAUCAUUACCAUUAAGAUCAUGAAUUAAACACACAUGGACGUUACACAUAGUUCCUAUGAUCUUCUAAAACUCAUAAGAGCAUAAAUUCAUAUCAAGCAAUUUCAAGAAAUCAUAUAAACAUAUACAAUACUUGAAAAUUAAUAAAAGUCAUGUAAAAUGGGUUAACAUAAUCAUUAUCAUUUUGAAAAACAGAUUUUACAAGUCCAAAAUAGAUUGGGAUAAUGAUCUUAAUCCAUUUCCAGCAACAAAACACGAAAACACUGCCCAGCACGCACCGAAUCGUCGAGUGCAUGAUCCUACUCGACGAGUAGGAUGCAUUUGUUCAUGGACUCGGUGAGUCCUCCCCAUGAACUCGGCGAGUNNNNNNNNNNNNNNNNNNNNNNNNNNNNNNNNNNNNNNNNNNNNNNNNNNNNNNNNNNNNNNNNNNNNNNNNNNNNNNNNNNNNNNNNNNNNNNNNNNNNUUGACUUGGUACCCUUAACAAUAUUACCUAAUCGAUGUGCCGGUUCACCACACAUACUCCACCGAUCUAUAAUAAAGUCAAGUUACCAUUUUCCACUCUUACUAGUCCAUGUUAGUGUGCCGGUUAACCACACACGCUCCACUAAUGACUUGGUAAGGUACAAAGUGUAAUUUUAUGGGCUAGCACCUUUUCACAUUUUCCUAAGUAACUAAGAUUGGGAAUUUAUAAGUGUUUAGUUACUUAGUAUUUUUCAUUAUACUUUUAAUGAAGGGAGAAUUAUAGUCCAUUCCUACCCGUUCGGCUAACGACCCUCCACCAAUCAAG
rnacentral:lncRNA from 1 species